rnacentral:rRNA from 1 species
CCAGACUCCUACGGGAGGCAGCAGUGAGGAAUAUUGGGCAAUGGAGGCAACUCUGACCCAGCCAUGCCGCGUGAGUGAAGAAGGUUUUCGGAUUGUAAAGCUCUUUCGGAUGUGACGAUGAUGACGGUAGCAUCUAAAGAAGCCCCGGCUAACUACGUGCCAGCAGCCGCGGUAAUACGUAGGGGGCAAGCGUUAUCCGGAUUCACUGGGUGUAAAGGGAGCGUAGACGGCGACGCAAGUCUGGAGUGAAAGCCCGGGGCCCAACCCCGGGACUGCUCUGGAAACUGCGUCGCUGGAGUACGGGAGGGGCAGGCGGAAUUCCUGGUGUAGCGGUGAAAUGCGUAGAUAUCAGGAGGAACACCGGCGGCGAAGGCGGCCUGCUGGACCGUGACUGACGUUGAGGCUCGAGAGCGUGGGGAGCAAACAGGAUUAGAUACCCCAGUA